rnacentral:rRNA from 1 species
CCUGAUGCAGCGACGCCGCGUGAUUUAGAAGGCCUUCGGGUUGUAAAAAUCUUUUGUAUAGGAAGAAAAUGACAGUACUAUACGAAUAAGGUCCGGCUAAUUACGUGCCAGCAGCCGCGGUAAUACGUAAGGACCGAGCGUUGUCCGGAAUCAUUGGGCGUAAAGGGUACGUAGGCGGGUCAUUAAGUUAGAAGUCAAAGGCUAUAGCUCAACUAUAGUAAGCUUCUAAAACUGGGAACCUUGAGAGAUGGAAGGGAAAGUGGAAUUCCUAGUGUAGCGGUGGAAUGCGCAGAUAUUAGAGGAAUACCGGUGGCGAAGGCGACUUUCUGGCCAUUUUCUGACGCUGAGGUACGAAAGCGUGGGUAGCAAACAGGAUUAGAUACCCUGGUAGUCCACGCCGUAAACGAUGAGUGUUAGGUGUCUGGAGUAAAUCUGGGUGCCGCAGCUAACGCAUUAAACACUCCGCCUGGGGAGUACGCACGCAAGUGUGAAACUCAAAGGAAUUGACGGGGACCCGCACAAGCAGCGGAGCAUGUGGUUUAAUUCGAAGCAACGCGAAGAACCUUACCAAGUCUUGACAUAUUACGGAAGGGGUUUAGAGAUAAUCCCCUACAUCUUCGGAUGACUGUAAUACAGGUGGUGCAUGGUUGUCGUCAGCUCGUGUCGUGAGAUGUUGGGUUAAGUCCCAUAACGGGCGCAACCCCUUUUGCUAGUUACCAUCAUUAAGUUGGGGACUCUAGCAAUACUGCCGGUGACAAACCGGAGGAAGGUGGGGAUGACGUCAAAUCAUCAUGCCCUUUAUGACUUGGGCUACACACGUGCUACAAUGGCAGGUACACAGGGCAGCAAGACAGUGAUGUUAAGCGAAACUCAAAAAGCCUGUCCCAGUUCGGAUUGCACUCUGCAACUCGA